AAAAAUAAAGGAAAACAACCAUGAAUACACAUCACACGAAUACGACCACUGUUGUCAUGGCCAAUCCAACACCCCCUGUGGUCAUUCAACAAGUGAAAAAAGAAAGAUUUGCUGAUAAGAUUGCGUUGAAUCUCCUCAUAACUCUUUUCUUCCCCUUCUGGAUAUUUAUUUGGUGCUGUAUGUGUAUUUGUGAGAAACACGAAUGACGUCUUUCGCUGACGAGAUUACCACCUGCGAUGACAAUUUAAAGAAAUGUAUGCUGGUCCUGUGCACAAACCAGUUUCAUUCACUACUGGAUAUUUUUUUAUGUUUUCGUUUCUAUACAUGUAUCUAUAUGGCUUUGUCUGUGGUUGAGAUAUUUUUUGACUGUUAACUUAAUUAUUGGGAUCUAGAGUUUUUGAGACAUUGUUUUCCCAAAAUUAUGUCCAUAUUCACAAAUUUUUUGACAAUGUUUUAUAUUUCUGAAUUUAAGUGCUAAUAAAAAAGCAAGAAAAAUAUGUUGU